rnacentral:misc_RNA from 1 species
AAAAAAAAAAAAAAACAAACCAAAAGCCAAGGUGCUGUUGGAAUCCAUUACAGAAACCCAAAUUAAUGGGAUAUGAAAACGGGAAAAUAUUGCGAGUGUUUCUGCCGUACAAAAUAUUGUGGUUGGUUUUAAAGUAAAAUGCAUUUUAUUCCUGGCUCCAUAGACCAAAUGGGUUAUGCCAUGAGUAGAUUGGAGAUUGAUUCUGAAAAUUGUGAUGGAGGUAAGACCAGAAAUGAAAUCAGUAAUGGCCAGAGAUCCAACAAAUCAUUGAACAAUUUAGAUCAUGAAAUUUCCCUGAUCACGAAAUUAAAAUCAAGACCUCAUGAACGCCUGGCUCAAGUGACACCUGGGAAACGGGAGUUUCCUGUUUCCACAAUUAAGAUGUUGGCGGGUCGGGAAAGUAAUUAUUCAGGAAGGGGGAGGUUUUCUGCGGCUGAUCGUUGUCAUAUGCUUGGCAGAUAUUUACCAGUCAAUGGUCCUUGGCUUAUUGACCAGAUGACUAGCCGGGCCUAUGUCUCACAAUUCUCAGCUGAUGGUUCUCUGUUUGUAGCUGGCUUUCAGGGAAGCCAUAUUAGAAUAUAUAAUGUUGAGAGGGGGUGGAAAGUUCAGAAAAACAUUCUUGCCAAAAGUUUGCGUUGGACAGUUACUGAUACAUCUCUGUCAUCAGAUCAGCGCCAUCUUGUCUAUGCUAGCAUGUCACCUAUUGUCCAUAUCGUUGAUGUUGGGUCUGCAGCUACAGAAUCACUCGCAAACAUCACGGAGAUUCAUGACGGAUUGGACUUUUCUGCUGAUGGUGAUGGGGGCUAUUCUUUUGGGAUCUUCUCUGUGAAAUUUUCUACUGAUGGACGUGAACUUGUUGCAGGAAGUAGUGAUGAUUCAAUUUAUGUAUAUGACAUUGAACAAAAUAAGCUCUCACUUCAAAUUCAUGCGCAUGCGUCUGAUGUUAACACUGUAUGUUUUGCUGAUGAAAGUGGCCAUCUUAUCUAUUCUGGAAGUGAUGAUAAUCUUUGUAAGGUGUGGGAUAGGCGUUGCUUUAUUGCUAGAGGAAAUCCAGCAGGAGUCCUAGUGGGACACCUAGAAGGCAUUACAUUUCUUGACAGUCGUGGAGAUGGUCGUUAUUUCAUCUCUAAUGGCAAAGAUCAGACAAUCAAACUUUGGGAUAUCCGGAAAAUGGCUUCUAAUGCUCCUUGCGACUUAGCGCUAAGGAACUAUGAAUGGGAUUACAGAUGGAUGGACUAUCCACCACAGGCAAAAGAUUUGAAACAUCCAGGUGAUCAAUCAGUGGCUACAUAUAAAGGUCAUUCAGUCUUGCGUACUCUUAUUCGCUGCUACUUUUCCCCCACACAUAGCACUGGCCAAAAGUAUAUAUACACUGGCUCUCAUGAUUCUCACGUUUAUAUAUAUGACUUGGUUACUGGAGAGCAAGUUGCAGUUCUCAAACACCAUGAAUCACCUGUCAGAGAUUGUAGUUGGCACCCGGAUUAUCCAAUGCUUGUAAGCUCUUCUUGGGACGGGGAUGUUGUGAAAUGGGAAUUUCCUAUGAAUGGAGAAGCUCCAACACCUGCAACCAAGAAGAGGAUUCGGAGGCGACAAUUUUAUUGAAAGAAGUUGGUGAUACAUGCAAAUGCAAUCUCCUUGAUAUUAUGAAGUAAAUAUAUGUUGUUUUCGCCACACACAUAUAUUAUGUAAUUAGCCUGUAAUGUGAAAUCAUUGCUUUAUACUAUACGUCCAUAAGGUUUGAGUUGUACAUGGAUAACCCCCCAAUGAGGAGAUUU